GAUGAAGAACGUAGCGAAAUGCGAUAAGUAAUGUGAAUUGCAGAAUUCAGUGAAUCAUCGAAUCUUUGAACGCACAUUGCGCCCCCCAGUAUUCUGGCGGGCAUGCCUGUUCGAGCGUCAUUUCAACCAUCAAGCCCUGCUUGUGUUGGGGUCCUGCGGCUGCCCGCAGGCCCUGAAAACCAGUGGCGGGCUCGCUAGUCACACCGAGCGCAGUAGCACAUCUCGCUCAGGGCGUGCGGCGGGCUCCAGCCGUUAAAGCACCCACCUUUCGCAAGGUUGACCUCGGAUCAGGUAGGAAUACCCGCUGAACUUAAGCAUAACAAUAAGCGGAGGA
rnacentral:misc_RNA from 1 species